rnacentral:rRNA from 1 species
GACGGGGGAUGCAAGUGUUAUCCGGAAUCACUGGGCGUAAAGCGUCUGCAGGUGGUUUCCUAAGUCCACUGUUAAACCUUGAGGCUCAACCUCAAAAUCUGCAUUGGAAACUAGGAGACUUGAGUAUAGUAGGGGGUAGAGGGAAUUUCCAGUGGAGCGGUGAAAUGCGUAGAUAUUGGAAAGAACACCGAUGGCGAAGGCACUCUACUGGGCUAUUACUGACACUCGAGAGACGAAAGCUAGGGGAGCAAAUGGG